rnacentral:snRNA from 1 species
UUGGCUGUUGCGACUCUUCU